GACGAACGCUGGCGGCGUGCUUAACACAUGCAAGUCGAACGGAAAGGCCCUUCGGGGUACACGAGUGGCGAACGGGUGAGUAACACGUGGGUGAUCUGCCCUGCACUUCGGGAUAAGCCUGGGAAACUGGGUCUAAUACCGGAUAGGACUCCGGACUGCAUGGUCUGGGGUGGAAAGCUUUUGCGGUGUGGGAUGGGCCCGCGGCCUAUCAGCUUGUUGGUGGGGUGAUGGCCUACCAAGGCGACGACGGGUAGCCGGCCUGAGAGGGUGACCGGCCACACUGGGACUGAGAUACGGCCCAGACUCCUACGGGAGGCAGCAGUGGGGAAUAUUGCACAAUGGGCGCAAGCCUGAUGCAGCGACGCCGCGUGAGGGAUGACGGCCUUCGGGUUGUAAACCUCUUUCAGCAUCGACAAAGCGAAAGUGACGGUAGGUGCAGAAGAAGGACCGGCCAACUACGUGCCAGCAGCCGCGGUAA
rnacentral:rRNA from 1 species